UGGGGAAUUUUGGACAGUGGGCGAAAGCCUGAUCCAGCAAUGCCGCGUGUGUGAAGAAGGCCUUCGGGUUGUAAAGCACUUUUGUCCGGAAAGAAAUGGCUCUGGUUAAUACCUGGGGUCGAUGACGGUACCGGAAGAAUAAGGACCGGCUAACUACGUGCCAGCAGCCGCGGUAAUACGUAGGGUCCAAGCGUUAAUCGGAAUUACUGGGCGUAAAGCGUGCGCAGGCGGUUGUGCAAGACCGAUGUGAAAUCCCCGAGCUUAACUUGGGAAUUGCAUUGGUGACUGCACGGCUAGAGUGUGUCAGAGGGGGUAGAAUUCCACGUGUAGCAGUGAAAUGCGUAGAGAUGUGGAGGAAUACCGAUGGCGAAGGCAGCCCCCUGGGAUAACACUGACGCUCAUGCACGAAAGCGUGGGGAGCAAACAGGAUUAGAUACCCUGGUAGUCCACGCCCUAAACGAUGUCAACUAGUUGUUGGGGAUUCAUUUCCUUAGUAACGUAGCUAACGCGUGAAGUUGACCGCCUGGGGAGUACGGUCGCAAGAUUAAAAGC
rnacentral:rRNA from 1 species